rnacentral:rRNA from 1 species
GACAGAGGGUGCAAACGUUGUUCGGAAUUACUGGGCGUAAAGCGAGUGUAGGCGGCUAAGUAAGUCGGGCGUGAAAUCCCACGGCUCAACCGUGGAAGUGCACUCGAAACUGCAUAGCUAGAGUCCUGGAGAGGAAGGUGGAAUGCUUGGUGUAGAGGUGAAAUUCGUAGAUAUCAAGCGGAACACCGGUGGCGAAGGCGGCCUUCUGGACAGUGACUGACGCUGAGGCACGAAAGCGUGGGGAGCAAACAGG